rnacentral:rRNA from 1 species
GAUGAACGCUGGCGGCAUGCCUAAUACAUGCAAGUCGAACGAGAGGAAGGAAAGCUUGCUUUCCUGAAUCUAGUGGCGAACGGGUGAGUAACACGUAGGUAACCUGCCCAUGUGCCCGGGAUAACUUCUGGAAACGGAUGCUAAAACCGGAUAGGUAGCAGACAAGCAUUUGACUGCUAUUAAAGUGGCCUUGGCCAUGAACAUGGAUGGACCUGCGGUGCAUUAGCUGGUUGGUGAGGUAACGGCCCACCAAGGCGACGAUGCAUAGCCGGCCUGAGAGGGCGGACGGCCACAUUGGGACUGAGACACGGCCCAAACUCCUACGGGAGGCAGCAGUAGGGAAUUUUCGUCAAUGGGGGGAACCCUGAAACGAGCAAUGCCGCGUGAGUGAGGAAGGUCUUCGGAUCGUAAAGCUCUGUUGUAAGAGAAAACGGCACUCAUAGGGAAUGAUGAGUGAGUGAUGGUAUCUUACCAGAAAGUCACGGCUAACUACGU